CAGCCGCCGCGGUAAUACCGGCGGCCCGAGUGGCGGUCACUAUUAUUGGGCUUAAAGCGUCCGUAGCCGGGUUGGGAAGUCCUCCGGGAAAUCUGGCCGCUUAACGGUCAGAAUGCCGGAGGAUACUCCCAGCCUAGGGAGCGGGGGAGGCCGAGGGUAUUCCCGGAGUAGGGGUGAAAUCCUAUAAUCCCGGGAGGACCACCUGUGGCGAAGGCGCUCGGCUGGAACGCGUCCGACGGUGAGGGACGAAGGCCAGGGGAGCAAACCGGAUUAGAUACCCGGGUAGUCCUGGCUGUAAACGAUGCGGACUUUGUGUCGGACAAGCUAUGAGCUUGUCCGGUGCCGGAGGGAAACCGUUAAGUCCGCCGCCUGGGGAGUACGGCCGCAAGGCUGAAACUUAAAGGAAUUGGCGGG
rnacentral:rRNA from 1 species